rnacentral:rRNA from 1 species
UUGAAUGGCCGCAGUAUUUUGACUGUGCGAAGGUAGCAUAAUAAUUAGUUUUUUAAUUAAAAGCUGGAAUGAAUGGUUGAACGAGAAAUUUUCUGUCUCUAUUUAAUUUUAUUAGAAUUUUAUUUUUAAGUUAAAAAGCUUAAAUUUUUAUAAAAGACGAGAAGACCCUAUAGAGUUUAAUAUUUAUUUUUAAUUAAUUUUUUUUGAAUUAUUUUUUUUAAUUAUUUAUAUAUAUUUUGUUGGGGUGAUAAUAAAAUUUAAUAAACUUUUAUUUUAAUAAAACAUUAAUAUAUGAUUAAUUGAUCCAAUAUUUUUGAUUAUAAGAUUAAAUUACCUUAGGGAUAACAGCGUUAUUUCUUUAAAGAGUUCAAAUCGAAAAAGAAGUUUGCGACCUCGAUGUUGGAUUAAAAUUAAUUUUUGGUGUAGAAGCUUUAAAUAUUAGGUCUGUUCGACCUUUAAAAUUUUACAUGAUCUGAGUUUAAACCGGUGUGAGCCAGGUUGGUUUCUAUCUUUAUAUAAUAAUAAUAUUUUAGUACGAAAGGACCAAAUAUUUAUAAUAAUUAUUUAAUUAGAAUUUUAAUAAUUU